AGAAUGCCCAGCUCUAUGUGAUAGCAUUUCUACCAGCAGUUCCAGCUAUGUCCUGCACAUGCUGCAAGUUGCCUACCUACAAAACCAAGGGAUAAUUCUGCCUCAGUUGUACACAGCAGCACAGCAAACCAUUUUUAACCCUGGGGCCACUACGUCUUAA